AAGGAAUCUUCCACAAUGGGCGAAAGCCUGAUGGAGCAACGCCGCGUGCAGGAUGAAGGCCCUCGGGUCGUAAACUGCUUUUAUGAGUGAAGAAUAUGACGGUAACUCAUGAAUAAGCACCGGCUAACUACGUGCCAGCAGCCGCGGUCAUACGUAGGGUGCAAGCAUUAUCCGGAGUGACUGGGCGUAAAGAGUUGCGUAGGCGGUUAGUAAAGCGAAUAGUGAAACCUGGUGGCUCAACCAUACAGACUAUUAUUCGAACUCACUAACUCGAGAGUGGUAGAGGUAACUGGAAUUUCUUGUGUAGGAGUGAAAUCCGUAGAUAUAAGAAGGAACACCAAUGGCGUAGGCAGGUUACUGGACCAUUUCUGACGCUAAGGCACGAAAGCGUG
rnacentral:rRNA from 1 species